AUGGACGGCCUCGCGGCGCCCUCACCCUCCCACUCCGGCGCCACGUCGGGCGGCGGCGCCUCCCACCGCAAGCGGAAGCUUCCGCCACCAUCCCUCUCUGACGCCACCGCCGACGAGGACGACGACACCACGGCGCCGUCGUCCCCCGCCACCUCCCUAUCCUCGCCUUCCCGCCCGUCGUCUCCGUCCUCCUCCCAUUCUGACGAGGAUGACGACGACUCCCUUACCACCUUCACCGCCGCUCGCCUCGAUGCCGCACCUGCAUCCUCAUCCGGCAGGCCUCCGAAGCCCGACUCGUCGUCCGCAUCUGCCGUCACAGCGGCGGCUCCUAAGCCCGAUGCCGCGUCCGCGGCGGCUGGAGACGGGAAGGAGGACUCCAAGGGGCUGUUCACGGACAAUAUCCAGACUAGUGGCGCUUACAGCGCCCGCGAGGAGGGUCUCAAGCGUGAGGAAGAUACAGGGAAGCUGAAAUUUCUCUGUUAUUCUAACGAUGGAGUCGACGAACAUAUGAUCUGGUUGGUAGGUUUGAAGAAUAUCUUUGCACGGCAGCUCCCUAAUAUGCCCAAGGAGUAUAUAGUCCGACUUGUUAUGGAUAGAACUCACAAGUCAAUGAUGGUUAUCAGGAAUAAUAAUGUUGUAGGAGGCAUUACUUACCGCCCUUAUGCAAGCCAGAGGUUCGGAGAAAUAGCAUUUUGUGCAAUUACAGCUGAUGAACAAGUUAAAGGCUACGGAACAAGGCUAAUGAAUCAUCUGAAGCAACAUGCCCGAGAUGCUGAUGGCCUCACUCAUUUCUUAACUUAUGCAGAUAACAAUGCUGUUGGUUAUUUUGUAAAGCAGGGUUUCACAAAGGAGAUCACAUUCGACAAAGAAAGAUGGCAGGGGUACAUCAAGGACUAUGAUGGAGGAAUACUGAUGGAGUGCAAAAUUGAUCAAAAGCUUCCGUAUGUUGAUCUAGCAACAAUGAUUCGGCGCCAAAGACAGGCAAUUGAUGAGAAGAUCAGAGAGCUUUCUAACUGUCAUAUUGUUUAUUCAGGAAUUGAUUUUCAAAAGAAAGAAGCUGGUAUUCCAAGAAGACUGAUGAAACCAGAAGAUAUCCCUGGGUUGAGGGAAGCUGGGUGGACUCCUGACCAGUGGGGGCAUUCCAAAUCACGUUCAACAUUUUCCUCGGAUUAUAACACUUACAGACAGCAGCUUACUAGCCUUAUGCGGAUGUUGUUGAAGAGUUUGGUCGAUCAUGCCGAUGCUUGGCCAUUCAAAGAGCCGGUGGAUUCACGUGAUGUUCCAGAUUAUUAUGAUAUUAUCAAAGAUCCUAUUGAUUUGAAGACAAUGUCCAGAAGAGUUGAGUCGGAGCAGUAUUAUGUGACCUUAGAGAUGUUUGUAGCCGACUUAAAGAGAAUGUUCAUUAAUGCGAGAACCUACAACUCUCCUGAUACGAUCUAUUUCAAAUGCUCCACACGGCUCGAGGCCUACUUCACAAAUAGAAUCCAAUCUCACCUUGCCCAGGCUGCGUCAACCAAGAACUAG
rnacentral:rRNA from 1 species